rnacentral:snRNA from 1 species
GUGCUGGCUUCGGCAGCACAUAUAAUAAAAUUGGAAUGAUACAGAGAAGAUUAGCAUGGCCCCUGCACAAGGAUGACACACAAAUUCGUGAAGCAUUCCAUAUUUUU